UGGUUUGAGCGGAGAGCAAUCCAAUGCACAUAGUCCUACUUUGGUAAGAUUCCAAUAUUAUCAAUUUGCUUAUAAAUUUUCAAGUUAAUUAAUUACUUCUAAACGUUCAUAAUAUUUUUGUCAUUUGGAAUUUUUGUGGUUGGAUGAUGAUUAUAGAGUGGAAGUGUUGGAACUCAAGGCCAAAAAUGAAAGCUUUUGGAUUGGAAUGGUUCUGGGAAUAUAGUUACUUACAGAUAUUUUAUUCCAAAUGAUCCAAAAGAUUUAGUUCUUAAUGUCCAUAUUGGACCAUUUUCUAUGAAGGUUGAUGUUGAUUUUGCAAGAGAGCUUUAUGCAUUUUUGUGGAGGCCUACUUCAGGGAUAACUUGUAUUGAAGAAAGUGUAGGAAGUGUUAUUGCUUGGCCAGCCGACAAAGUCAUAAUGAGUUUUUUUCUCUAUGUUAUUUAGGUGAUGAAGAUAGCGACACGAGAAUUGGAUGCUUGCAAUUAAUAAAGAGAUAGUAUUUGACAAAUAUUACAAUUUGCCUUUUAUUAGACUCGUUAGACAUUAUUUCUAAGCAUAAACUUUUAUUAUGGUA